GAUGAACGCUGGCGGCGUGCCUAAUACAUGCAAGUCGAGCGAACAGACGAGGAGCUUGCUCCUCUGACGUUAGCGGCGGACGGGUGAGUAACACGUGGAUAACCUACCUAUAAGACUGGGAUAACUUCGGGAAACCGGAGCUACUACCGGCUAAUAUAUUGAACCGCAUGGUUCAAUAGUGAAAGACGGUUUUGCUGUCACUUAUAGAUGGAUCCGCGCCGCAUUAGCUAGUUGGUAAGGUAACGGCUUACCAAGGCAACGAUGCGUAGCCGACCUGAGAGGGUGAUCGGCCACACUGGAACUGAGACACGGUCCAGACUCCUACGGGAGGCAGCAGUAGGGAAUCUUCCGCAAUGGGCGAAAGCCUGACGGAGCAACGCCGCGUGAGUGAUGAAGGUCUUCGGAUCGUAAAGCUCUGUUAUUGGGGAAGAACAAAUGUGUAAGUAACUAUGCACGUCUUGACGGUACCUAAUCAGAAAGCCACGGCUAACUACGUG
rnacentral:rRNA from 1 species